UGCACGGUGGUGCAGUUGGUAGCAUUGUUGCCUUGCACAAGAUGGUUCUGAGUUCAACUCCCAGCUGGGGGUCU